UACGAAGGGGGCUAGCGUUGCUCGGAAUCACUGGGCGUAAAGCGCACGUAGGCGGCUUUCUAAGUCAGGGGUGAAAUCCCGGAGCUCAACUCCAGAACUGCCUUUGAUACUGGAGAGCUUGAGUCCGGGAGAGGUGAGUGGAACUCCGAGUGUAGAGGUGAAAUUCGUAGAUAUUCGCAAGAACACCAGUGGCGAAGGCGGCUCACUGGCCCGGUACUGACGCUGAGGUGCGAAAGCGUGGGGAGCAAACAGG
rnacentral:rRNA from 1 species